rnacentral:tRNA from 1 species
UCCUUAAUAGCUCAGUUGGUAAAGAGUCCACCUGCAAUGCAGAAGACCCGGGUUCGAUUCCUGGCUCAGGAA